AUGGAAGUCGCUGAGGCUGGACAGGAGGAGGAGGGAAGGUCUGAUAAUAGUGCAGCAUGGCUGAGGCAGAAUGGGGCUUUGGAGAACCAAUGAGUGGAUGAGCCUGCCUUUAUCAAUUCUGAAGAUUUUGUAAGCAGGUGAACGAGGAAGAACUACUUGGUGAAGAUGUACUCAAAGAUCGGCUUCAGGAUGUAGAUGGGAUUGGAUUGCCUCAGUGAUUGUUGUGGACAAUGUUCAUCAGGUGGGACCCGACCAGAUUGCGAAGCUCAAAAAUGUUAUCUACAAGAUCUUCUCCAAGUUUGGAAAAAUCAUAAAUGACUAUUAUCCUGAAGAGUACGAAAGACAAAAGAGUACAUCUUUCUGGAAUAUGCUUUUCCUGCCCAUGCUGUGGUAGCUAUGAAAAGCACAAAUGAACACAAGCUGGAUAAGAAGCACACUUUCUGGGUCAACCUCUUUACUGAUUUUUGAUAAGUACAUGAAAUCAGUGCUGAGUGAGACAUUCCAGAAAAACAGCCUUUCAAAGACCUAGGAAAUUUGCUUUACUGGCUGGAAGAGGCAGAAUGUAGAGAUCGGUUUGCUGUGAUUUUUGAGAGUGGAGACAAAACAUCCAUCUUCUGGCGAGAUGGACAGAUGUUUUGUCUGGUGACAUGGUUCUACUUGCUUCACAGACAGAGACAUAUGUGCACUGGUCCCCUAAGGGCACCUACCUGGCUACUUUCCAUCAAUGGGGUAUCGCCCUCUUUGGAGGGGACAAGUUUUAGCAUAUCCAGUGGUUCAGCCACUAAGGUGCUGCAGCUCAUCGCUGUCUCUCCUGUGAAAGAUACCUGGUGACUUUCAGCCCGCUGAUGGACACUCAGGAUGACUUUCAGACCUUUGUCAUCUGGGACAUCCUCACGGGGCAUAAGAAGAGAGACUUUCAUUGUGAAUGCUCAGCUAACUGGCCCAUCUUCAAGUGGAGCUGUGAGAGCAAAUUCUUUGCAAGAAUGACCUUAGAUACUCUUAGCAUCUAUGAAAUAUCUUCUGUGGGCCUUUUAGAUGAGAUUGAAGAUCUCUGGAAUAAAAGGUGUUUCUUGGUCUCUGGGUGGUAGCAUCAUUACCUUUUGGGUGCUGAAAAACAAAGAUAUUCCAGCCAGGGUGACUCUGAUGUAACUCCCCACCAGACAGGAGAUCUGAGUGAGGAAUCUCACUCAUGGACUACACUGCAAGCUGCACUGGCAGAAACAUGGAGAUUACCAUGUCUAAAAGUGAACAGAUCUCCAAAAAGCACACAGGGUGUUGUCACAAAUUUUGAAAUCUUCUGAAUGAGGGAAAAACAGGUACCUGUUGACAUUCUUCAGAUGAAAGAAACCAUCAUAGCCUUUGCUUGGGAAACCAAUGACAGGAAGUUUGCUGUGCUUCAUGAGAUCCCUUGGAUAUCUGACUCCUUCUACCACAUGAAGAGCAAUGGGAAGAUCAAACUCAUUAAUAUGUUUGACAAACAGCAAGGAAACACUGUCUUCUGAAGUACCCAGGGACUGUACAUGGUGCUGACCUGGCUGAAGAGCAAGAGAAGAGCCUUGGCAAUCGGAAGUGUCUGUGAACGCUUCAGAUUGCAUUGUCAUGAACAUUACAGAGUACAACAUGGCUUCUGACAUUGAGUGGGACUGAACUGGCUGCUACAUGGUCACCUCUGUGUCAUGGUGGAGCCAUGAGGUGGACAAUGCUUAUUGGCUGUAGACCUUCCAAGGUUGCCUUCUAUAGAAGAACAACAAAGACCAUUUUUGCCAGCUGCUCUGGAGAACAAGAACCCAGAUGGUCCUCAUCCAUGAUCAGAUAAAGCAAAUAUAAAAAGGAUCUGAAGAAAUACUCUAAGAACUUUGAACAAAAGGAUCACUUGAGCCAGUUCAAAGCUUCAAAGGAGCUGGUGGAAAGACGUUGGACCAUGAUGGAGGACUUCCAGGAAUACCAAAAAACGGUCCAGGAACUCUUUAUGAAGCAGAAGAAUGAGUAUCUAGAACUAUGGGGAGAGGUGGACACUGAUGAGCUGGACAGCAACAUUGAUGACUGGGAGGAAGAGUCCAUUGAGAUUUUUGUCAAUGAGAACAUUCCUCUGGGAAGUCAGGAGAGACAUCACUACUAUUAUGUCACUGUGAUGUGCCCAAGGUCCAAGGCCACUCUUCACUAG